AACGAACGCUGGCAGCGUGGUUAAGGCAUGCAAGUCGAACGGACAUACUUUGAGGGCAACUGAGAGGUAUGUUAGUGGCGGACGGGUGAGGAAUACAUGGAUAACGUACCCCAAUCUCGGGAAUAGCGGCGUCCGCCGAAAGGCGGGCUUUGCGAAAGUGCCGGUAAUACUCGAUGACCCCGCGGAAUCGCAUGGUUCUGCGGGCAAAGCUCCGACGGUUUGGGAUCGGUUCAUGCCUAUCAGCUAGUUGGUGAGGUAACGGCUCACCAAGGCAUCGACGGGUAGCGGGCGUGAGAGCGUGGCCCGCCACAUCGGGACUGAGACACGGCCCGGACACCUACGGGUGGCUGCAGCAACGAAUCUUCCGCAAUGGGCGCAAGCCUGACGGAGCGACGCUGCGUG
rnacentral:rRNA from 1 species